AGGCUUUGAUCCUGGCUCAGGAUGAACGCUGGCGGCGUGCUUAACACAUGCAAGUCGAACGAACCUUCGGGUUAGUGGCGGACGGGUGAGUAACGCGUGAGAAUCUGCCCUCAGGAGGGGGAUAACGGCUGGAAACGGCCGCUAAUACCCCAUAUGCCGAGAGGUGAAACGAGUUUUCGCCUGAGGAUGAGCUCGCGUCUGAUUAGCUAGUUGGUGGGGUAAGAGCUUACCAAGGCAUCGAUCAGUAGCUGGUCUGAGAGGAUGAUCAGCCACACUGGGACUGAGACACGGCCCAGACUCCUACGGGAGGCAGCAGUGGGGAAUUUUCCGCAAUGGGCGAAAGCCUGACGGAGCAAUGCCGCGUGAGGGACGAAGGCCUCUGGGCUGUAAACCUCUUUUCUCAAGGAAGAAGAUCUGACGGUACUUGAGGAAUAAGCCACGGCUAU
rnacentral:rRNA from 1 species